AGACUUGCUGGAAGAACUGAACUGAAAGGACGUGUUUUUCUCUAGUGCUGUAAUGUCAGAAAUAAACAUCAUGUAAAUAGAUUUCUGACUUAUUUUCUUUCCCCUGCGGAAGCAGGAGGGAGGGGUUGUGCAUUUUACCCACGCUUGGGAAAAUGUCGCCUAUCAAAAUCUCCCUGGUCUGUCCGGGAAGUCAGCCAGAGGAGGUUACCGGUAUGCAAGCUCCGAGGACAGUGAGAGGGGCCAGCCUUUGUGGAGGGGGCUUGCAAACCGACAAGGGUAGCAGAGCCCGAUGGUUGCAACAACAAGACAGCUGAGCACCAGGUGGGAGACUUUUUUUGCUGAUAAGCAGCGAUCCACGCACCUCUGCGAUGCUGAUUUAUGGCUGGAUGGUGAACGCGAAUUGAAAAGUCUUCAGUUCCCUGAGAAAAAAAGCUCCUGUUUUGGAUAAAACAGAGCAGAGAGAAGCCACAUACUUAGCAUUCCAGAGCUGAUAAGAAGUUCCGUUGCUAAGCGACAGGUCGUGAGUACUUUUUGAGCUAAAUUUAUGAGCUGGUUAGCUUAAAGAGCAAAGAGAGAAAAGAAGUUAUCAGAAACGAAAGCAAGGCUGAGUGUUUGUCAGCGACGCUUGUUGUAAACAAACUGUUGGAAAGGGACUUUCCAAAGCAGCUUGCUGAUUGCUGUUGGAUUGCAGCGAAGGCUUAUUGUUUACAGACUCUGUGGAAGGGAAAAUUCCAGGCAGCUGGGCUGACUGCCAAGUGCAAGCAGCUUGUAAACAGCCCAAUAGACUUUUGGAUUUUCCAGCUUGUAGCUGAAGCUGCAGCUUGGGAUUAAAGAUGGCUCUGUUCUCUCAGAAACUGAAUAGCCAAAACUGGCUAGAAUGGUCAUUUGCAAUGGAAUUCUUGCUGGUGGGAGAGCAAUUAUGGGACUGAGUCCAGACCCCACAGCCUGUUGCUGUACAAGCACAGGGGGAGAAGGCUGCAGUUCAAAGUGAACUGAAGCAGCGUGUAAUGAGAAUUUUGGCGGAAAAUGUGGAUGCUUAUCUUGAGCCAGUCCUAAAGGGUGCAGAAGAACCAAGCUUGUGAAGCUGGGGUGGGAAGCAAGGACCGAGAAUUGGUUGCGCCAAAGGGGGAGAGCCAAGAUGAAGCUAGCCAAAUUCUUGAGAGCUCAUCGAAAGCUGGGAGGAGCUUUGAGCCACAACAAGGAAGUGAAGGGACUGUUGCUGCUGUUGCUGUUGAUGAUCCUAGCACUGCUGCAAUGGCUGUUGCUGAUGGGGGGAGUGAAGCUCAGAAAUCAAGCACCCCCACUACUAUUGCUACAGAGGAGAAAGCUGUAACUCAGAAUGCUGUUCGUCAGGAGACACCACGUCAGGAGAAAGGAGCUAGAGGGAGCUCUGUAAAGCCUGAGGCGUCAAGCAAAGGUCGUACCCAGUCCCAGGCAAAGCCAGAUAUGGCUUUAAUGUCACUAAAAGCCACAUCAUCCGUGGAGAACUCAUUUAUUGUAGACACAGGAUAUACGCAACACAUGACAUCACACCGAGAACUGUUUUCUACGUUCGAGAAGCAACGCUUCACUGUGAAAUUGGCCAAUGGUCAGGAAAUGGAAGCAACCAGGAUCGGAACUGUGUAUCUAGAAAGCCUGAACUUGACUAUAAACAAUGUUUAUUUUGUUCCUGAUUUAAAGUACAAUUUGCUGAGUGUUUCUCAAAUAACUAAGAAGAAACUGGUGUUAUCCUAUGAUGAGGAAAGCUGCAAAAUCUACAAAGAUGGAGAGCUGUAUCUUUCUGCCAGAGAGAAAGAUGGACUGUAUCUGUUAACAUUUGAUGAAAGUGAUUAUAAAAUGUGUACAGCAUGUGAAUCUAAAAUGCUUUCUCUUGCAGGUAUCUCGAAAGAAGACACGAGAGGAAAGGCAACAAAGAUUAACAAAGUUUUUCAGCGAGUGUAUGCUGAUGUAAUUGGUCCUUUAGCACCAUCUAGAGGCAAUGCAAAAUACUAUCUUGUAUUUGUUGAUCAUUUUUCUCAAUAUGUAUGGAUUUACAUUUUGCAGAAUCCCAGAGAAACCUUAGAAAGGUUUAAGGAGUUUUGUGAUAAGGUUAAGAAUGUUCAUGAUGCUAAUAUUGAUUUUCUUUUCACAGAUGAGAAGCCAAUUUUUCUUUCACAGGAUUUUCAGGGUUUCCUUGAGAAGCAAGGGAUAGAGCACAAGGUUGCUGUUUCUGAAGCUGCAUGGAACAAAACUGUUUGUGUAAAAGUGAACAGAGUGUUGCAAAAUGGCAUGAAGGCACAAUUGCUGAGUUCACACUUGCCACAUGAGUAUUGGGCUGAAUCUUUAUCAUGUUUUUGUUACACUUGGGUGAGAAAGGUUUCAAAAGGUAUGGAAUGUUCUCCUUUUGAGAAGCUGUUCCACAGAAAACCUUCUGUCACGCAUAUUAAAGUUUUUGGAUCUCAAAUCAGGACUGAAACUCCAGAAGGGGUGAAGAAUGCCAAAGGCAUGUUUGUGGGUUAUGAAAAGGGUCUCUACAGAGUAAUUUUGUCUGAAUCUGGUCAGGUGAUUCUCACAAAAUUUCUAGAAAGCUCAGAGAGUUCUGUUGACCCAGUUAUUGAGAAAGGUUCACACACAAAAGCUAGAUCUUCACAGGUUAAGGAUGAACCACUGUUUACUAUUGGAACUGGUUCUCCGAAAAGUCCUGAGACUGAACCAGUCAGCAAGGAGGAUCAGCACCCCAUACGCAGGUCUGAGAGAAUAACAAAGGGCGUACCACCCAAGAGGUAUUCUCAAGAGUUUGCUAGUUCAGCUGUUGCAUGUAUUACUAUUGCUGACAACUCAAGCCAGGUUAAGGGUAUGUCUAAGUCAGAGACAAAGACACAACAGGGAGUUGCUAAGCGUAACACUACAUUCCCUAACCAAGGUAAUGCAGAAGCACUCAUUCCUUGGAAAACAGACAACCAGAGAGUUACAUUGGUGAAACCAGUGGCGGGUAGUUCCAAGGGUGGAACUGAAACAACAGGGGAUUGUUACAUGUAUAACAACUGUUUGUUUUCUUCUCUGGAUCAAGCUUUGUCCGCAGCUAACGAUGAUUCAUAUGGGGGAGGAUGUCAGUAUAUGGAAACAUCACCGCUGCAGACAGCCAGAUUGUUGACAUCACAUGAUGUGCCUAUCUGUGAGAAAGAAGAAUUUCCCAGGACGUUUACAGGCUGGAUAAGUCUUUGUGAAGAGUGUAACUUGAAACCUUCCGACUGCGCAUGUUCAGGAAGUUUGUCAGACUUGCUGGAAGAACUGAACUGAAAGGAUCGUGUUUUUCUCUAGUGCUGUAAUGUCAGAAAUAAACAUCAUGU